rnacentral:rRNA from 1 species
AACGAACGCUGGCGGCGCGUCUUAACCAUGCAAGUCGAGCGGCAGGCAGCAAUGCCGAGAGCGGCGGACUGGGGGGUAACCCGUGGAUAACGUACCCCGAUGUCCGGUACAUCCUGGAGGAAUAGAGGGUAAGACCGGAUACAUCACUGUUUACUUGGGGUUAAGAGCGGGAGAAGAGCUUCUUCGCCCCGUGCGCGACUGUCUGCGGCGAUGCAGGAUGAGCUCGGCGUCGGGGUAAAGGCCCGCCAAGGCGAGGAUCCGUAUCCGGUCUGAGAGGGUGGACAGACACAUUGGGACUGAGAUACGGCCCAGACUCCUACGGGAGGCAGCAGGUAAGAAUAUUCCGCAAUGGGGGGAACCCUGACGGAGCGACGCCGCGUGAACGAAGAAGGCCGGAAGGUUGUAAAGUUCUUUUCUGUCGGAAGAAUAAGUUUCGGAGGAAAUGCCGGGACGGUGACGGUAGGGAAGGAAUAAGCACCGGCUAAUUACGUG